AUUGAACACUGGCGGCAGGCCUAACACAUGCAAGUCGAACGGUAACAGAAAGCAGCUUGCUGCUUUGCUGACGAGUGGCGGACGGGUGAGUAAUGUCUGGGAAACUGCCUGAUGGAGGGGGAUAACUACUGGAAACGGUAGCUAAUACCGCAUAACGUCGCAAGACCAAAGAGGGGGACCUUCGGGCCUCUUGCCAUCGGAUGUGCCCAGAUGGGAUUAGCUAGUAGGUGGGGUAACGGCUCACCUAGGCGACGAUCCCUAGCUGGUCUGAGAGGAUGACCAGCCACACUGGAACUGAGACACGGUCCAGACUCCUACGGGAGGCAGCAGUGGGGAAUAUUGCACAAUGGGCGCAAGCCUGAUGCAGCCAUGCCGCGUGUAUGAAGAAGGCCUUCGGGUUGUAAAGUACUUUCAGCGGGGAGGAAGGGAGUAAAGUUAAUACCUUUGCUCAUUGACGUUACCCGCAGAAGAAGCACCGGCUAACUCCGUG
rnacentral:rRNA from 1 species